CAUCCCCCCAGGCCCAGCCCCCCGGCUUAGCCCUCUGUGCUUCCUCGCCCCUCACCCCUGAGUCCUGCCAGAACCGCCCUGGGCAUGGGGAGGAAGUUGGGACCUGCAGUGACUCUGGGGGCUGCGUGAAAUCCAGGGAUUUGCAAACAAACAUUUGGUCUCCGAAACUGUUCUAAAUCCUGGAUACUCUGUCUCCCCCAGCCUGGAGCACCUCAGGGGUUUGGAAGUGGGGAGAGGGGUAUGGGCAGGGACCUAGGUCAAAGCCUCCUUUUACUGAUGCAGGCACUGGGGCCCGGCCUGGAUGUCCUUCCUUGGUGCCUAGCUGGUGCCUGAGAGCUGAGACCUCCUUGGAUUGAAGCCACUGAGACACCCACUGUGUGACCCAGACAGAGGGACUGAGUGCCUUCAGCUGCUGCUGGUCCAGCUGCUUCCUGCAAAGAGGAACUGCAGGAGGCACUGCUUCCCCAUACACCUCCCGCCGGCCCUCCCACCCCCACUCACACACACCCUCCUGGGAAUUAAACUUCCCGCAAAAGCUGAUGCAACUACCCAGUGAACAACACCUCAACGGCUGAUCGUUGAGAACAUAUUCCAUAUUCCAAGCAGAUGAGAGAUGUGACGUUAUGGCCGACAAUUAUACCAGUCAUUCACAGUCCACCAGCUCAUUCAAGAGAAAUAGACAAGGAGACAUCCUGAAUGCAAAGUGGGAACGGCCUGACGCUAGCCUGAAACAGGGACUUGGCAACAUCACACACUUAAACCAGUGGAAAGGCUGGAUGUGCACCCCUUGAUGCCUUCCUUUGACCCUGGUACCCUGAAAACAUGACACAGUGGACCACACUUGCCUUCAGAGCCCACUUGGCCCCACAAGGAGAGGAGGCAAUGUUGCAAAGAGUUUUUGUAGGUUUUUCUGUCACUCUGCUUCUAGAACCAGAAAGUUCAGCCACCUAAGACUGGACAGGAGUGUCCAUACAUUAUUAUGCUCCUUUAAAUAUAAACUGUGAACUUUGGGGACAGGUGUGGUGGAGAAAGUUCUGAUGAAGCUGAUGAUCUAGGUGGUCCGUCCACACAGCGUAUUUAAUCUCAGGCACCUCCAUCUAUUGCUUGGUCUUGCAAACAUAACCCAUAACUUAGUAUCGGUAAAAAUCAAUGACUGGUAAACACAAUUACAUGAAACCAUGGAAAAUUAAAGGCAGCAAUAUCACCAACAAAAUUCAAAGAGCAUUUUUGUUUUUUUUUUUUAAACAAGAGAAGCACAUUAU